rnacentral:rRNA from 1 species
CCGCGUGUGUGAAGAAGGCCUUCGGGUUGUAAAGCACUUUCAGUUGUGAGGAAAAGUUAGUAGUUAAUACCUGCUAGCCGUGACGUUAACAACAGAAGAAGCACCGGCUAACUCCGUGCCAGCAGCCGCGGUAAUACGGAGGGUGCGAGCGUUAAUCGGAAUUACUGGGCGUAAAGCGCACGCAGGCGGUUUGUUAAGCUAGAUGUGAAAGCCCCGGGCUCAACCUGGGAUGGUCAUUUAGAACUGGCAGACUAGAGUCUUGGAGAGGGGAGUGGAAUUCCAGGUGUAGCGGUGAAAUGCGUAGAUAUCUGGAGGAACAUCAGUGGCGAAGGCGACUCCCUGGCCAAAGACUGACGCUCAUGUGCGAAAGUGUGGGUAGCGAACAGGAUUAGAUACCCUGGUAGUCCACACCGUAAACGCUGUCUACUAGCUGUGUGUGCCUUUAAGACGUGCGUAGCGAAGCUAACGCGCUAAGUAGACCGCCUGGGGAGUACGGCCGCAAGGUUAAAA